rnacentral:rRNA from 1 species
AUUGAACGCUGGCGGCAUGCCUAACACAUGCAAGUCGAACGGCAGCACAGCACGUAGCAAUACAUGCGGGUGGCGAGUGGCGGACGGGUGAGUAACGCGUGGGAAUCUGCCCUAUAGUGGGGGACAACCCGACGAAAGUCGGGCUAAUACCGCAUACGCCCUACGGGGAAAGGGCUUCGGCCGCUAUUGGAUGAGCCCGCGUCGGAUUAGCUAGUUGGUGAGGUAAUGGCUCACCAAGGCGACGAUCCGUAGCUGGUCUGAGAGGACGAUCAGCCACACUGGGACUGAGACACGGCCCAGACUCCUACGGGAGGCAGCAGUGGGGAAUAUUGCACAAUGGGCGAAAGCCUGAUGCAGCAAUGCCGCGUGUGUGAAGAAGGCCUGCGGGUUGUGAAGCACUUUCGGUAGGGAAGAUAAUGACGGUACUACAGAAGAAGCACCGGCUAACUCCGUG